rnacentral:rRNA from 1 species
UACGUAGGUGGCAAGCGUUGUCCGGAUUUAUUGGGUUUAAAGGGUGCGUAGGCGGCCUUAUAAGUCAGUGCUGAAAUAUCCCGGCUUAACCGGGAGGGUGGCAUUGAUACUGUAGGGCUUGAGUAAAGUUGAGGUAGGCGGAAUUGACGGUGUAGCGGUGAAAUGCUUAGAUAUCGUCAAGAACACCGAUAGUGUAGACAGCUUACUAGCUUUAACUGACGCUGAGGCACGAAAGUGUGGGGAUCAAACAGG